ensembl:snoRNA SNORA71 Small nucleolar RNA SNORA71
CCCUGUAUUCGGGAGCAGUUAUGGGUUGCCUGUGCCCUGGCCAUAGAUACUGAAGUGAGGGGUACUGAAAGCCUUACCCUGUAUUCGGAAAGUCCGUUCCUGUCCAUGUCAACCCCCGGUGCUGUGGGAACACA